rnacentral:rRNA from 1 species
GGCUCUAUCGACAGCGGGUUUACGACCUCGAUGUUGGAUCAGGGUAUCCCAGUGGUGCAGCCGCUACUAAAGGUUCGUUUGUUCAACGAUUAAAACCCUACGUGAUCUGAGUUCAGACCGGAGUAAUCCAGGUCAGUUUCUCAUCUAUAAAGAGCUUUUUCUAGUACGAAAGGACCGAAAAAGCAUGGCCUAUGUUUUAAACAAGCCGUACCUGAUUAUUUAUGAUUUAAACUUAAUAAAUAUUCAAUCUACAACCCUAGCUCUAGACAAGAGCA